rnacentral:tRNA from 1 species
GCGCCGUUAGCCCAGUUGGAUUAGAGCGUUUGGCUACGAACCAAAAGGUCGGGGGUUCGAGUCCCUCACGGCGUG